GUUUAUCAAAAACAUGUCUUUUUGAAAUUAAUUUAAAGUCUAACNUGCCCACUGAAAUUUUAAAUGGCCGCAGUAUUUUAACUGUGCAAAGGUAGCAUAAUCAUUAGUCUUUUAAUUGAAGGCUGGAAUGAAUGGUUGAAUGAGAUAUUAACUGUUUCAUAUAAAUUAAAAAUAAAAUUUUAUUUUUUAGUUAAAAAGCUAAAAUAUAAUUAAAAGACGAGAAGACCCUAUAAAUCUUUAUAUUUAUUUUUUUAAUUAUUAUAUAGAUAAUUUAAAUUUUUAAAAAAUUAAGUAUUUUAUUGGGGUGAUAUUAAAAUUUAAUUAACUUUUAAUUAAAAUUAUACAAAAAUUAUUGAANUUUUGAUCCAUAAAUAAUGAUUAAAAAAUUAAGUUACUUUAGGGAUAACAGCGUAAUUUUUUUAGAGAGUUCAUAUUAAUAAAAAAGUUUGCGACCUCGAUGUUGGAUUAAGAUAAAAUUUAGGUGAAGAAG
rnacentral:rRNA from 1 species